rnacentral:lncRNA from 1 species
CUUUGGAAGACAGCAAGAGAAAAGCAACUUUUGCCUCAGCAGUGUCUAAAGGCACCGCUGUCAGAGAAACACAGAGAGGAUCCCGGCUCCUUCCGUUUGCCACCCAGAGUCCCGGUGCCAUCUGUACAGUGUGCCAGCGGCGCCACAAACCCUCACGCGGCUCCGGGAGGCCAUCUUGACGGAGAUCUUCACACCAGGAGCUAAGAUGGCUGGACUGGCACAUGAGAUGUGGACUGAACAUUGAGAAAUCAUGUCAGAGCGAUGGAAACUGAAGCUCCUGAGGAAUGAUGAGUGCGAAUGCAAAUUGUCUUUAUUUAUUGCAUAAAAAAUUAGCUGUACUGUAUUAGAUUGUGUUAUUUUCCGCAGCAUGUGACUCAUAAGAUGUUCAUUGCUAUUUAUUUUAUAUUAUGUGUUUUGAAAAUAUGUUUUAAGGUUGUAUUUUUUUUAUUUUAAAUUAAUUGUUUUUGUCCUGGAUAUAUUAUAUUCUUUGUAUACAUUUUAUAUAGUACAUUUGAAGCUACCAAAUGUGUCUGACUAUAUUUUUCUAUAAAAUUUCUAUGUAUAUUUGUAGCUACCAAUUGUAUAUAAUAUCAAUUUGUUUGUUUGUUUUUUAAUAUAUUAUCUAUAAAUAAAAUGUUUCUUAUA